GGAGGGGUGGCCGAGUGGACGAAGGCGGCAGUCUUGAAAACUGCUGAGCCCCAUCGGGGUUCCGUGGGUUCGAAUCCCACCUCCUCCG
rnacentral:tRNA from 2 species